rnacentral:misc_RNA from 1 species
AAAAGUCCUAUGACCUCAAAACACCGUGAACCUACCUCUCUCUCUCUCGCUCCGGCGGGUCGCCCCAGGGGGGGCGCCCCGGCCGCAAGGUAUCCGCCGGAGCCCGCGCCUAGAGCCUUCUACAAGUCUUCUGAGUGCAAAAGCUAAAAGCUUA